rnacentral:lncRNA from 1 species
UGUAGUGAUGGAGGUAUUUAUUGUAUCUAGUGAUGGAGGUCUGUAUUGUAUCUAGUGAUGGAGGUCUGUAGUGAUGGAGGUCUGUAUUGUAUCUAGUGAUGGAGGUCUGUAGUGAUGGAGGUCUGUAUUGUAUCUAGUGAUGGAGGUCUGUAGUGAUGGAGGUCUGUAUUGUAUCUAGUGAUGGAGGUCUGUAGUGAUGGAGGUCUGUAGUGAUGGAGGUAUUUAUUGUAUCUAGUGAUGGAGGUCUGUAGUGAUGGAGGUCUGUAUUGUAUCUAGUGAUGGAGGUCUGUAGUGAUGGAGGUCUGUAUUGUAUCUAGUGAUGGAGGUCUGUAUUGAUGGAGGUCUGUAGUGAUGGAGGUCUGUAUUGUAUCUAGUGAUGGAGGUCUGUAGUGAUGGAGGUCUGUAUUGUAUCUAGUGAUGGAGGUCUGUAUUGUAUCUAGUGAUGGAGGUCUCUAUUGUGUCUAGUGAUCGAGGUCUGUAUUGAUGGAGGUCUGUAUUGUAUCUAGUGAUGGAGGUCUGUAGUGAUGGAGGUCUGUAGUGAUGUAGGUAUGUAUUGUAUCUAGUGAUGGAGGUCUGUAUUGAUGGAGGUCUGUAUUGUAUCUAGUGAUGGAGGUCUGUAUUGUAUCUAGUGAUGGAGGUCUGUAGUGAUGGAGGUCUGUAUUGUAUCUAGUGAUGGAGGUCUGUAUUGUAUCUAGUGAUGGAGGUCUGUAGUGAUGGAGGUCUGUAUUGUAUCUAGUGAUGGAGGUCUGUAGUGAUGGAGGUCUGUAUUGUAUCUAGUGAUGGAGGUCUGUAUUGAUGGAGGUCUGUAUUGUAUCUAGUGAUGGAGGUCAAGGUGAUGGAGGUCUGUAUUGUAUCUAGUGAUGGAGGUCUGUAUUGUAUCUAGUGAUGGAGGUCUGUAGUUAUGGAGGUCUGUAUUGUAUCUAGUGAUGGAGGUCUGUAUUGAUGGAGGUCUGUAUUGUAUCUAGUGAUGGAGGUCUGUAGUGAUGGAGGUCUGUAGUGAUGGAGGUCUGUAGUGAUGGAGGUCUGUAUUGUAUCUAGUGAUGGAGGUCUGUAUUGUAUCUAGUGAUGGAGGUCUGUAGUGAUGGAGGUCUGUAGUGAUGGAGGUCUGUAUUGUAUCUAGUGAUGGAGGUCUGUAGUGAUGGAGGUCUGUAUUGUAUCUAGUGAUGGAGGUCUGUAGUGAUGGAGGUCUGUAUUGUAUCUAGUGAUGGAGGUCUGUAUUGAUGGAGGUCUGUAUUGUAUCUAGUGAUGGAGGUCUGUAGUGAUGGAGGUCUGUAGUGAUGGAGGUCUGUAGUGAUGGAGGUCUGUAUUGUAUCUAGUGAUGGAGGUCUGUAUUGUAUCUAGUGAUGGAGGUCUGUAGUGAUGGAGGUCUGUAUUGUAUCUAGUGAUGGAGGUCUGUAUUGUACCUAGUGAUGGAGGUCUGUAGUGAUGGAGGUCUGUAGUGAUGGAGGUCUGUAUUGUAUCUAGUGAUGGAGGUCUGUAGUGAUGGAGGUCUGUAUUGUAUCUAGUGAUGGAGGUCUGUAUUGUAUGUAGUGAUGGAGGUCUGUAUUGUAUCUAGUGAUGGAGGUCUGUAGUGAUGGAGGUCUGUAGUGAUGGAGGUCUGUAUUGUAUCUAGUGAUGGAGGUCUGUAUUGUAUCUAGUGAUGGAGGUCUGUAUUGUAUCUAGUGAUGGAGGUCUGUAGUGAUGUUGGCUUUCAGUCGUAUGUCCUUGAAUGAUUCUAACCAUAAUAAUGAUGAUAAAUUCUGUUAUAAGUUAUUUUACCGUCCUGUUAAAACAUAUAUUAGCAGGUAGCAGUGGCGUUGUUGAAUGUAAAUCCCUGCUAUAUUAGCAGGUAGCAGUGGCGUUGUUGAAUGUAAAUCCCUGCUAUAUUAGCAGGUAGCAGUGGCGUUGCUGAAUGUAAAUCCCUGCUAUAUUAGCAGGUAGCAGUGAUGUUGUUGAAUGUAAAUCCCUGCUAUAUUAGCAGGUAGCAGUGGC